AUAGAUGACGAUCAGAUACCGUCCUAGUCCUAACCAUAAAGUAUGCCAACUAGGAGUUGCAUGUUGUUACAUUGCUGAUAUGUCCAGCACCUGUGAGAAAUCAAAGUUUUUGGGUUCUGGGGGGAGUAUGGUCGCAAGGCUGAAACUUAAAGGAAUUGACGGAAGGGCACCACCAGGAGUGGAGCCUGCGGCUUAAUUUGAUUCACCGCGGGAAAACUUACCAGGACCAGACAUAACCAGGAUUGACAGAUUGAUAGCUCUUUCUUGAUUUUAUGGGUGGUGGUGCAUGGCCGUUCUUAGUUGGUGGAAUGAUUUGUCUGGUUAAUUCCGUUAACGAACGAGACCUUACUUUGCUAAAUAAUUACAUGUACCUGUUGUUACAUGGGCAAUUCCUUAGAAAGACUUUGUGUGUACAAUGCAAGGAAGUUUGAGGCAAUAACAGGUCUGUGAUGCCCUUAGAUGCCCUGGGCUGCACGCGCGCUACACUGAAGAGAGCAACAAGUAUAUUUUCUUGCCUGAAAUGGUGUGGCAAUCUAGAAACUGCAUCGUGAUGGGGCCUGUUCAUUGUCAUUAUUGAUCUUAAACGAGGAAUUCCUAGUAAGUACA
rnacentral:rRNA from 1 species